CACGCCCUAAACGAUGUCUACUAGUUGUCGGGUCUUAAUUGACUUGGUAACGCAGCUAACGCGUGAAGUAGACCGCCUGGGGAGUACGGUCGCAAGAUUAAAACUCAAAGGAAUUGACGGGGACCCGCACAAGCGGUGGAUGAUGUGGAUUAAUUCGAUGCAACGCGAAAAACCUUACCUACCCUUGACAUGUCAGGAAUCCUCGAGAGAUCGGGGAGUGCCCGAAAGGGAACCUGAACACAGGUGCUGCAUGGCUGUCGUCAGCUCGUGUCGUGAGAUGUUGGGUUAAGUCCCGCAACGAGCGCAACCCUUGUCAUUAGUUGCUACGAAAGGGCACUCUAAUGAGACUGCCGGUGACAAACCGGAGGAAGGUGGGGAUGACGUCAAGUCCUCAUGGCCCUUAUGGGUAGGGCUUCACACGUCAUACAAUGGUACAUACAGAGGGCCGCCAACCCGCGAGGGGGAGCUAAUCCCAGAAAGUGUAUCGUAGUCCGGAUCGCAGUCUGCAACUCGACUGCGUGAAGUUGGAAU
rnacentral:rRNA from 1 species